GCACUUACUUGGAUGAGGUCUAUGAGUGAUCAUGUAGGCUCAUGGCCUAGGUUGUUGACCUCCAUUGCACAUUGCAGAGGGGUAGCUGCCAAAGAUCUCCCCAAGAAGGAGAGUCUACGUCAUAAUUUAUGGUAGUUGGAGCCUGCGUGCGCGCGACUCCUG